GACAAACGCUGGCGGUAUGCCUAACACAUGCAAGUCGAACGGACAGAACAGGGAAGCUUUUCGGAGUGGAACUGGAAAGUUAGUGGCGGAUGGGUGAGUAACGCGUGGACAACCUACCUUGUAAAGGGGAAUAACCUCGAGAAAUCGAAGCUAAUACCCCAUAAUAACCUUGCUUCGCAUGAAGUAAGGAGGACAGGCGGCCUUAGCGCUGUCGAUACAAGAUGGGUCCGCGUCUGAUUAGCUAGUUGGUGAGGUAAAGGCUCACCAAGGCGACGAUCAGUAGCCGGCCUGAGAGGGUGAACGGCCACAUUGGGACUGAGACACGGCCCAAACUCCUACGGGAGGCAGCAGUGGGGAAUCUUCCGCAAUGGGCGAAAGCCUGACGGAGCAAUGCCGCGUGAGUGAAGAAGGCCUUCGGGUUGUAAAACUCUGUCCUUAUCGAAGAGAGAGUGUUGUAGUAACUGACAAUACUAGGACGGUAGAUGAGGAGGAAGCCCCGGCUAACUAUGUG
rnacentral:rRNA from 1 species